CUUAAUAUCAAUGGUAAUAUCGUAAAUUAAUCAAGUGUCAUUUUGAAUGUUAUUUUGUUUUGUUUUUUUGAACAUGCAUACUGCAUGCAGAAGAUGUAAAUAAUUCUCUCUACUCACAUUUUAAUGCAUUUUGUGUUCACCCUCAGGACCAUGCAAUAUACCAAAGGACAGUCUAUUAAAUUGACAAAUUCAAUUUUAAUUUUAGUUUAAUUGAAUAUUAAAGGUUCUGGCAUAUCUUUUUUUUAAAUUAUUAAUAACAGGCACAAUUGAUUGUCAUUCACCAAACAGGACGAGGUUAUUGACUCAUUUCAACAUGUCAAUCCAAUAUGUGGAAAUCCAUUUGUACACACUUCCAGUCACCACCAAAUCACAUCACUUGAACCAUUCAGAGGAAACAGGAAAACAGAGAGUGAGAGAUUAACAAAUGUCAAAUGGAAAAUAUGCAUAGAUUUCUCCUGUAACUUACACAAAAUAAAAAUAAUCAUGCUUAAUAAAUAUUAAAAUAACUCAAAUACGCAUAUAUUCUUAUAUCAAACGUCCCGUCCCCCCCACAUAUGGCACCAAUCUGUAUGCUGUACAUCAAUAAAGUGAAAGGAAAUUGGAUAGCAAGGAGACUGCAAUGGUUUCACCUUUAUCAAAUUCAGAUAAAUGAUUACCUCUUUGUGACAAACAUAACACAUAUGGUGAAUAAUUUCUGAUACUCCAGAGCAGAGCACUAAACUUUCCACUUGUGUAAUGGAGUGGCGUGUCAGUGCUAAAAUGGCCGAAUGUGGCUGUAAUGCAAUGAGGCAGGACGCUGUUGGAAGUUUGGGCCCCGUGGAAAAAAACAGUUUGAGCAUGUGUAUAGACAACAACACAGAGAGUUUCAGAAGCCUGCUGAACUAUGCUGGUCUUAUUCUUGUAUGAUUACGACUCGUCGGUCUCCAGAUAAAUCGAAUCAGUCUGCAUGGCUCUCAGACUGAAAGGUUCUGACAGAUCAAUGGGUAUCAUAGUUAAUACCCACUUGUUUUUCUCGAGCUCUGGAAUGUUUGCUGCUGGCCGACACACCCUAUGGCCGUUUUUUUUUUUUCACAGCCAGAUCAAAACCAUCCUUCGCCUCGAGAAGCCUUGUCGAUCCGAGGCUGUUCAAAGCCAUCAGAGUCACUGUCCCGCAAAAUCAAUAAACUCCUGCAGCCCCUGUUUUACUUGUUCACUGCCGCCGCCUUCAAUGGUGGACAAAGUUUUCCUAUACAUCCUAAUGGAAAGAACAUCAACCCGAUCAAUAGUUCACAUAUUCAAUGAGCUCUGGCAAGCAGGCAGAAUAAAGUCCCUGGAAGGAUCAACCCAGGAAGUAAUAUGUUGUCUUCUGUGCCUGAAAAUGCCUCUGUGUUGCAGGCAAAACAUAAAUGAGUGAAUGUUUACACGGACACACACAAAAAAACAAAAACAAUGAAGCUGGUUUGUUUGAAAAAUUGAAAAUUAAAUAUACUGUAUAGUCUUUGCAGUCUAUUAAAUUGAAUACAGGUUGAAAAAGAUUUGCAAAACAUUGCAUUGUGUUUCUAUUUAUAUUUUGCACAAUUUACCAACUUCAUUGGAAUUGGACUUUGUAAUUGUUCUGCAUUGGCCACGAUAUGCUGCCAAAAAUAGAUGGUCAAAGUUACAUUAUUUGUAGUACAGUAUAUGAAUAAUAUUUGGACCAAUUAACCAUAGAAAGUGUGGAUAGAGCAAAGACGAGGAUAGAGCAGGAAAUGCCACCAGAUAGUAGUCCCAUUCCUGUCCGCCGUAUCUAAAUGUAAUGUGUCAUCUUAAUUACAAAAAGAAAAGUUUUGUCUGCAUGUGAAGAGGCUCACCUCUUAGGCAUGACAAGACAACAUCAGUACAACCACAUAUUUAUUUGUGGUGCAACCAUUAUUGCUCCUGUGAUUGACAUCUCAGUGGACAAAUGAGAAGUUUACACCAAGAAAACGUACCGUGUGCAAUAUUUCAAUAGUCUUUAUUUUGGCGUGUUGAAGUUAUUGUUAGUCUUCUGAGGGCAGUUGUGCAAUGCUUUAAGUGUAUUUUGUAUUAAUUUUGCUGAGACACUUCAGUUCAUAUUAACUGCAUUAGGCUCAGUAAGUCUUGACAUCAUACAAAGAGGCCAUUGAGAAAGAUUAUUCUCCUUCCACACUUCAUAAUGUUUAUAGUCUUCCUAAUGAAAAGGUCAAGCUAUGUCUUUGUUUCAAAUGGUUCAGGACAAAAUGGAGAUAUCCAGUAUAUUUCAUUGGGAUUGGCGUGGCACAAUUUCAUUUGUGUGUUGAGUGCUUUCAUUCUAAUUGGAUCAGAACAUUUACACCAUUUAUUCAUUCACAUCUCCAAAAGCAGUGGAACUACCUUGCAAGUAGAAGAUUAGGCCUCAAUUGACAGGCCUCUUCACAUAGAUGUAGUAACCACAUUUCAUUCUCUCUUCUAUGAUGUAAUUAAGGAUGUCUCCGGGUUUAUUAAAUAUCAGUGUCAGUGAUUUUCAAGAAAAAUUCUCUGUCGAUGUUUUAGAUAUGAACAGCAGCAUAACCAAUGUUCACGCAUCAUCCAUUGCUGCUACCUUUUUCAAACAAAACAUCACUCAUGCUAAAAGAGCUUAAAGGAUUAAAUCACCAUAUUAAAUCACCAUGUGUCCCGACAUCUUAACAGAUCUGACUCUGCUUGGAUACACAAUUAAAUUUAUUGUCUUUUUAUUUUUAUUUAUUUAUUGAAUAAAUCUUUGUGUCACGGUCGGGGUUAGCGAAGGUGUGGAGGGCCCAAGUGCAGGAACGCAGGGAUGCCAGCCAGGAAUCCAAGAAUCCCAAAAAAUACUUAACUUGAUAAAACAACAAAUUAAACAGUCCAACAACCAAAUAAUCAACGUAAGAAAUUAGACCUUAAAGGUCAAGUGUCAUCCCUAUAAACAUUCAAAAAUAGAUAUUGGAAUGAAAAAUUCACUUCAAUGUCUAUCCCAAAAAAAUAAAUAUGUGCAGAGAGCGCGUCAUCCAUGCGCAAAGUCAUUCAACAACAUCCAUGUGGUCGCCAUAUUGUCUGCAUCCCCUGUCCGUGACGUCAACCCGGACAUUUGCCAUUGAAAACACGCGGUGGACCCUGCUAUGGGAGACAAACAUGCCCCUUGUGACACGGAAGGUCUUUUCGAAGAAGAGAACAUCACACAACCGAGCCGGCGAAGGCUGCUGCGUCGCCUCGCCAGUGAGCCCAAUGCCGUCCGACAUGCACAUAGCCACAUUUAGCACGUCUGUCAUACAUACGCGUAUCUUUUGUUAAGUUAUGAGAGACCGAUUACGUGGUCCACCCCAAACUAUUAUUUUUUUUCGUACCUGUAUACACACCUUACUGUCAUUAGGAACUCACAAAGCUCUCGUUCUUUGCACCCGUGCAACCCAUUUUUCACGACAAACCGGGUCUCUUUCAAACUUAUGAAGGGUAAUUCCAUUCUCCCGAGUGUUCAAGCAAUGUCCAGCAAUGCAACGAGCCGGCAUUUUAGCUAACACGAAGGAACAACGAGCUACCUUCCCAGAGGUAAAACAAAUAGAAACAAAUGAGUCCACUUGAAGGCGGUCCUGUCAUGUACGUCACUUCCUGCUUCUUCUCGAAAACAAAUCCCUCGAGAGGAUUUUCAUGGCGGGAGUUACAAAAAGGUGUAUACGUCUAAAUCAUGUUUUGUGGUGAAAAAAACGCAUGGGUCCACGUCGGCUGCCGCUUUUUCAUUAAUAACAUGGUAAAAAUCAUGCAUUUCAUGACAGUGGUCCUUUAAAUAAACCUAAACUAGACAAGGUGUGGCACAGAGACAUAGUGGCAUGGGCAGUACAGACAUGAUGUCAACAAUGCAACAGACUGACAAGAACUGAACAAAAAAAAACGGAGAGUUAAAUACACAAAGAUUGACGAGACAACGUGGAACACCUGGACAAGACAUGAGUGGAUGGAGGGAGCUGAUUUGUCAACACAUGGAAGGAAGGUAACCCAACACAACCAAAAUGGCAGCCAGAACAGUUUUGAUAAGCGUCAUUAUAAAUAUCUAUGUCAAGUUUUACAGCAUCUUCUUUUGCUAACUCACUUGUCUCCUUCUAUGUGAUAACAGACACUGAAAAAUAUCAAAUAGUUAAUGAAAUAUACUCAGGUCUCAUGUGUGCGAUGUUUCAGUUCGUAUGUCGUUUUUCUUUAGCGUGUGGUCAGUCACGCUUCCUGAGUGGCAUUCUCAGUGUCAGCGCUGUAGUCAUUUUGGCUGCAGGCAUCCUGUCGCUGUGGUGGAUUUACUGGCAACAUGACCCCCACCCCCUCUCGUCGGCUCUUUAAUUACCCUGGACUAUUGAUCCUCCAUGGGACACAGCACUCCGGAGCUGAGGCUGGGCCUGCACCAGUUAAUGACUGAUUAUUCCCAUGUUGGUCCCACGGGAACCGACAGCCGCUGCCGGAACAGAAGGAGCCUGACACCACUGGAACUGUUCAGCCGUGUUCCAAGCUGACUUGAGUGUCUUCGUUGUAUGUCCUCAGACGUGAUCAUUUAUUAAUGUGUGCUUCAGCGGAUGCUUCAGAACUCACACAAACAGCAAGGCACAGACAACUGGAGCCUAUAGAGCUUGUGCAUGUGACGUCACCAUUUUCACGGCGCCAUAUUGCCAGUCAAAAAGAGCUGCUCGACAAUGUGGGGGACAUUGAACCGGAGCAGAAUAUUCACAAUG